rnacentral:rRNA from 1 species
GACGGGGGAUGAAAGCGUUAUCCGGAAUCACUGGGCGUAAAGCGUCUGUAGGUGGUGAUGCAAGUCACUGGUGCAAAACUCUGGCUCAACCGGAGGAAAGCCAGUGAAACUGCAUGACUAGAGUGUGGGAGAGGUAGAAGGAAUUCCUUGAGUAGCGGUGAAAUGCGUAGAUACAGGGAAGAACACCGGAGGCGAAAGAGUUCUACUGGAACACAACUGACACUGAGAGACGAAAGCUAGGGGAGCGAAUGGG